GCCCGCCGAGGCUCGGGGCUCGGGCCGGGCUCCGCGCGGAGUUGCAGCGGUGGCCGGAUGCCAAGUGUAAGUGAUUUUUUAUCAAGCAGAAAUGCAUCGAACAACGAGAAUCAAGAUCACUGAGCUAAAUCCCCACCUGAUGUGUGUGCUUUGUGGAGGGUACUUCAUUGAUGCCACAACCAUAAUAGAAUGUCUACAUUCCUUCUGUAAAACGUGUAUUGUUCGUUACCUGGAGACCAGCAAGUAUUGUCCUAUUUGUGAUGUCCAAGUUCACAAGACCAGACCACUACUGAAUAUAAGGUCAGAUAAAACUCUCCAAGAUAUUGUAUACAAAUUAGUUCCAGGGCUUUUCAAAAAUGAAAUGAAGAGAAGAAGGGAUUUUUAUGCAGCUCAUCCUUCUGCUGAU
rnacentral:lncRNA from 10 species